GCGGAAGGAUCAUUAUUGAUUGUGAAUCGUUGCCUCCAGUGCUGGCUCUCGCAAGUGCACGGUUGGUGACUUUCAUCCAACACCCUGUGAACCUUUGGCCUCUUGCUAGCUUCGGCUGGCAGAGGAUUUUUACACACACUCGAAUGUAAUGAAAUUAUUGUCGUGCGCAAGCACUUAUGUACAACUUUCAACAACGGAUCUCUUGGCUCUCGCAUCGAUGAAGAACGCAGCGAAAUGCGAUAAGUAAUGUGAAUUGCAGAAUUCAGUGAAUCAUCGAAUCUUUGAACGCACCUUGCACCCUUUGGCAUUCCGAAGGGUAUGCUCGUUUGAGUGUCAUUGUACUCUCACACUUCUGAUCCUUUGGAUUUGGAGCGGUGGACUUGGGUGUUGCCACUUGACGGUGGCUCACCUCUAAUGCAUUAGUGCAACUCCUGGUUGGACCAUAGUACGGCGUGAUAAGUGUCUUCGCCGGCACCUCGUGAGAGGGUGGCCGAUCGAGAGCUCUGUGCUUUCAAACCGUCCUUCAAGGACAAUGACUGACAACUUGACCUCAAAUCGAGUAGGACUACCCGCUGAACUUAAGC
rnacentral:rRNA from 1 species